ensembl:miRNA
GAGGUGGGAGGAUUGCUUGAGCCUGGGAGGUUGAGGCUGCAGUGAGCCAUGACCUUGCCACUCACUGCACUCCAGCCUGAGUGACAGAGCCAGACCUUGUCUC